GCCGCUGUAGCUCAGAUGGUAGAGCAGAGGACUGAAAAUCCUCGUGUCAGCAGUUCGAUUCUGCUCGGCGGCA
rnacentral:tRNA from 1 species